GGAGGGUCAAAUGUCAAGACGAUUUGGAAUCAAACAAACAUUGAUUUGGCGUGAACUAUCACGUGAACUACUUUUUUUUAACUAACUUAAAAUUGCCUCUGACAUUACGUCACAGCAAUUUUUAUUUUACAAUGGUCAUAACAAUUGGCAGUAGUUUCUGUUAAUCUUUAAUUCAAUGUACUUUUCCAAAAGAAAACCCCUCCAACAGUAAAGUGCUUAUAUGCGGUGUGUAACCAGACAGUAGAGAAAUCAUUCCCAGACCAUCUCUGGUGUAACUUCAGGAAGAGAAGAAUCAAUAGCCUACAGCUGAAUCAAGUGCAGCAUUGCCAAAGGAGGAGCACGGAUGUUGUGUGAAAGCGCACUCUGGGGCAUGGGUCACCAUGAAGACUUGGUGAGAGAACUCACUCUUCCUCACGCCUCUCUAUCAGAGCCAUCAUCAGAAAACAACAGAGACUGGGGUAGUUUCUACCCGCAUCUCUCCAAAUGCGCCAACAUCGAGGAUGAUGGCAGGGAAAAUAUGGAAAACCAUACAAGGAAAGAGGCGGUGAAACAAAGAUCGGCUCAUCAAGAAAAGGGACUGGUCCCAGGAAACCAAGUAGUGAGGAAUAUGGCAUCACCCCAUUCUACAGAGCGGUUUGGACCAACAGGGAGAGGGAAGUCAUCAGGAGCCGGACGGACACUGGUACUGUGUCAGACGUCAUCUCCAAGCCUCUCGCAGAGUCGCACUAAAAACGAUGUGGUGUAAAGCCCGCCUCUUCAUUUUCCAUGGACAUAUUUAACAGUGGCUUAUGGAACAAUGUUAUUUAUUUUGUAUGUCAUUUCACUAUCCUUCAUAACCUGUGCUUUUUCGCUGACACGGGUGCCAGUUGUACGGUGUUUCCUCCGACACAUUGGUGUUGCUGGUUUUCGGCGAGCAGUGUGUCAAGUAUCAGUGUGGCUUGGCAGGGUCGUGUUUCGGAGGACGCAUGACUCUCGACCUUCGCCUCUCCGUAGUCGGUACGGGAGUUGCAGAGAUGCGACAAGACUGUAACUACCAUUUGGAUAUCACGAAAUUGUGGAGAAAAAGGGGUAAAAAGUACAAACAAAAAUGAUAAUGACCUGUGCUUGAUAUCCUGUUCAACCCUUCCUGUGAAUUAAAUAGCCCUAUAGGCC